rnacentral:misc_RNA from 1 species
UGGGCUUGACAUCCUGGUGAAAGCCCGUGGAAACACGGGCCCUCCUUCGGGACACCAGGACAGGUGCUGCAUGGCUGUCGUCAGCUCGUGUCGUGAGAUGUUGGGUUAAGUCCCGCAACGAGCGCAACCCUUGCCCGUAGUUACCAGCGAGUAAAGUCGGGGACUCUACGGGGACUGCCGGCGUCAAGCCGGAGGAAGGUGGGGAUGACGUAUGCGUAACAGAA